UACCAGCACCCCGAGUGGUCGGGACGAUUAUUGGGCCUAAAGCAUCCGUAGCCGGUCCUACAAGUCUUCCGUUAAAUCCACCUGCUUAGCAGAUGGGCUGCGGAAGAUACUAUAGGGCUAGGAGGCGGGAGAGGCAAGCGGUACUCAGUGGGUAGGGGUAAAAUCCUCUGAUCCAUUGAAGACCACCAGUGGCGAAGGCGGCUUGCCAGAACGCGCUCGACGGUGAGGGAUGAAAGCUGGGGGAGCAAACCGG
rnacentral:rRNA from 1 species